rnacentral:lncRNA from 1 species
GUCCGUACGAAGCAAGUGAACUGUGAAGCUCUAUGCACUUAAAAAUUGUAUUCUUUUAAACAGAUUGCACUUAAUCUAUAUCAAAAGCACUUAUUACUGGUUGUUAAACCUUGUUUGUUUCACAGACUACCUUUAUUUUAUUCUGUUGGAUGGCUGGUGGUUAAAAUAUUGGCCAUUUAGGGCUGAAAUUUCAUGCAGGUUUUAAGCAGUAAAGUGAAUAAACUUUGCAUCAGACCAUACUGUCUACAUAUAUAGUUGAAAGCAACAGUCUUUGUACAUCUAGGCUUCAUAUUUGAUCAUAUUUCAGCCAGGAUCUGAGCAAAAAGAAGCAUAUUUCCAUC